GAGAGACAGGAAGAGAAACAGUCUGUCGUUUACUGACAAGUGCAAACAGCCAGUCAGACAGUUAGCCCAAGGAACAGACAGCUAAAUAGAAAGAUAGACGUUUGGCUCAUUCCCAGUGGGACUGAUAGACAGGUCUGAUCUGUUAACUGGUGUUUGUGUUUUUGUGUAGAAGGGAGGGAAAGGAUGCCAAGCACCCAUCGGCAACAUUUAACAUUUUACCCAACAGAGCAGGUGAGCCUUUGAAUUUUCCAGUACUGAGGGGUCACGCUGGCAUACAGCUGUUGACUUUUAAAAGCGCUGAUUUGUACAGUUGUCAGACGUUUCCUGCUGGCACACUGGCACACACACAAAUACAAAACCUUGGCCCACACAAACCCCUGUGCCUCUAAAAAAGUCGGCUUCCUUCUUUAAAGGUCACCACUCAGUGUUGACAGUUUCAGUGGGCAUGUGAAUUCAACAUUCACCUAGUGUCCAGAAACAAUAAACCACCGUUCCAACCUUAGACCUCCGAGCUGCAGAAACUGCUGUGCUCAUAUAACACAGGAGGCUGGUAAAAACGUGUUCCAGUGUCAGGGAGGUCAGCGCAGGAUGUGUGAAUAACUCAUCUUCUAUCUUGCUAUCUAGCAAGGGCCUACUAAAUGUGAGUCCUGACCUGCUUCUUGUUCUGACUAAGUCCUUUUUGCUCAAUCCCUCUGGCAAAGGCUGGCCUGUAGCUGUGGAUCCUGCCCCAACUUGCACACAGGAAUGUACUAUUGAGAAAGCGCUGCACCGCAAACCCUCCCAGCCAUUCCAACCCGUAAUCAGAUCCAGCCUGUCAUCCCCCAUCCUGUAUCCAAUCUCUUUCUCUCCCUUUUUUUCCUUUCUCUUCAAUCCAUCUCUCUCUAAAUGACAAGCACACACGCAGAACACAAACACCCACAUACAGAACAAGCACUCAGACACCCACACAGAAUCGCAGACACCAAUUUGUAGACAUGUAAGCUUGUGCAAACACAGUUCUAAAGUCACAGACCUUCCGCAGCGAAGUAAAUGCAGCUCUACCGGGGAGACGCGCAUACAGUGUAGAGAGAUGACUAGGAGAAUAAACUGAUACCAACAUUCUAUCAUUACCACAUAUUCACUGAAUUGCUGUCAUAUUUGCUUGUAAGUGAGAAAGGUAUAUUUUGUUCUCAGGAUUGUACAUCAUUUAACUCAAUAAAGAGUUAUUGAAGACAGACAAAAAGUUUGCAAAGUUAUGAAGCUUCAUUAGCUUGUAAGGUUUUCUAUUUUCUCUGCAAUGUGUCGUUUGGUCACUCCCCACUCUGGCUGGCAUUUUGUUCUCAGGAAUGUUUAUCAUUUCAUUAAAUAAAGGUUUAUUGGUAGUGGGUAAAGAAGCUCUCCAAACUAGCAAGCUUGCUAAGUGUCAGUUAGCAAGCUUGUUAGCUCGGCCGCUAACGGGACAACACAGUUUAUUCAAAAGACUGAUCACAAAAUUGCACUAAGCCAAUUCCAAUCGCUGGCAUGAUCAGGCCAAACGAGUCAGUCACAAAGAGUACAGGGGGCGUAUUUUAUGAGACAAGCACAACAUAGGGUCAUUACACUUUCCGUGUGUUUUGAAUUUCAAAUGUAACUCACAUCUCAGUCUGGUUCUUACAUUUCAUGAAUGUUUCAGUUCACUUUACCUACUUAUCAUAUAUUCCAUUGGUUCUUCCCUGAAUGGAGAGUUUAGGUAAUGUGUGUUUGUGCAUGCUUGCUAACAGUUGUAGAUUUAUCCUCUUGAUGCUGAAGAAAUUAUGGAAAAAAUAUUCAACAUGUAGACGGUGUAGUCCCUCAUUCAUCCAGGAGUGUUCCAUCGUAGAAAAGGAAAAUGAUAGAAAAAUGUAAGAAUUCUUGCACAUUAUGUUUUAUCAGAGGCGAACAUUAGCAUUUUACAUGCCCAGUUAUUGUCUUAGUUGAAGUCUCAGUUAGUUAAUUAUCCUAACAAUGAGCAAUCUCUUCCUCCCUCUAUCUCUAACCACCAAAUCUCCUCAUCUCUUUCCACCUGACUGGCUAUGAUUGCUGCUGAUCCUUCCCCCUUCAUCUCUCCAUCUCCAGACCCUCCCUCUCAUCUCUCUUUCUGUCUUUUCACUGAAGUGGGGGGAAUAUUUCUUUAAGCGCCCUUUUCUCUCUUCUUCUCUCAGGAAACUCUGACUGCGGGGCUGUUUUGCUGGCUUUCAAUAAACUCUUGGAUCCUGUCUCUUUGAAAAACCACAGCUUCGAUUACACAAAAUGAAGCACCACACAACCCUGGGCAACCGAAAGGUGUUUUCAAUAAUUACUUAUUAUAUGUGUUCGGCGAAUCAGAAACAUCUGCGGCGAGUUUGACUGAAAGAGCCCCAAAACAAUUCUAAAAUAGGACUGACGCACGCAGGCUCUGAGACACACACUCACGCGCACACACACUGGAAGGUUACACUGCGCCAUUGUCAGUGUGGCUGUUUUUUUAGCUGGCCACAGCUGCGGAAAUGAAUAUCAAAUGUGGUUCUGCUCCCAUAAAUCAAAACCAUUUGCCGUGUUCUGACUUUCUUUCCCCCCGUUUAAAGUCAAUUCGCAAGGGCAGUAUGCAUUACACUUACACCCCACGGCUUAACUCUUUCCUCUGAAACAGUCACAGAGGAGUGUUCAGGAGCUGGAUGUCAAGAAGAGGCAGGUGAAGGAGGGUGUAUCGCUGAAAGCGCCGGAGGUCCUGGACUCGGCUUUACGUCUGCUUUUCUGGUAUUAGAGGGGAUCCAACGCUGUCCAAACCUUAUCCUAACCUACCGUCCGGGUCAAACCAACAUACAUACUCCAGAUCAAGCUGUGGAACAAUAGACCUAGCCGUCUGUUGGUUUAACAGGUCUGGAUGCUUGCUAAAGGGGGAUUGGGAAGGCCUGCUCUGAUGUCCAAAGGCCCGGGAGGGUGAGGGAGGUAGUGAGUGAGCAAGGGAGUGAAGCAUUGCCAAAGGGGAAUGUGUGUGUGACUGUGUGUGCAUGUGUAUGUUCAAGUAGGGCAGGGUGGAGAGGGUCACAUAAGGCCGUGUAUGUGAGUGUGUAUGUUUGGGACAGUGGAAUGUGAGGAAGGGGAGGGGGGACAUGCAGCAAGGGACAUCCCAUUAAUACCAGACCUAAUCUCCACCCUAGGCACAGAGUAUAUACACACACACACGCGCACACACACAGGGAGACUGACAGACAGACAGCCAGACAGAAGGAAGGGGUCCAUGUUUUCAUUCCAAACUGAAAUGGAAAGGAAGAGGAAAUGUUUUCAUUCCUUUUGAUAUAACAAACACACACACUUACAUAGUCAGAAAUGAAAGAAGGUUUGAACACACAACAUCGUCAGCGUAACAUUUUACUUUGUGUGAGUUUAACCACUUAUUUUACAACUUCAGUACACAAGUCAAAUGUUUUUGGUAUUAAAGUGAAUCCUUAAGAUUUCAAUCCUGCUUAAUCUGACAACAUCUGUGGUUACUGGUGGUCAGUGGUGUACUGAACAACUGGCAUAUCGGGACAACUCCCAGUGGGCCAUCAAAAAAUCCAUAACGUUUUCACCGGCCGUCCGGCCUGUCUUUUUCUUUACCGGCACUCUCUGUGUGCCUGUCAUUCAGGGUGCGCAUGAGCACGUGCUGCGUGUGUGUACCGGGACUGGGCUCACUGGCCAAUUACAACCAAGUUAGUUAAACUUGUGCUUAUGUCAUAGGCUCCGCCAUAGCCUACCCCGUCGCUACUGUUGCGGCUGUAAAACAGUGGAUAAAUUGUUUUUAGCGUCACAACCCCCACGAAAUUACUCGUUUCACUAUCGGAAUUUGAUUCAUUCAGUCUAAUAACAACUAGGAAGUCUAGAAGAGCCACACGAUUUAAUUAUUUUUAUCCCCAUUCAAGUUAGCAUAGGGCUAAACUGGAAGUUACUGACAACAAAUGAAAAGAAGUCCUAAAAUAAAUGAUGAAUUAAAUUAAAAAUGUUACUAAAUGUCUUCAGCAUUAUGUGAAAUGUGUGCAUGUUCUGGUUUUUACAUCACAUCCAGUAUGUACAUGCUUUGUUUCCUGUGAGUUCAUUGUGUGUUUGUAUGCAAUUUGAAAGGAAAUUGACAUAAUCAUUGAUGACUGAUAUAAUGAAAAUAUCAAGGAUUUUCAUUUCAAAAUAUUGGUUCUCUGCAUUAUGUCAAAUAAAAUCCUCUAAAUCUCAUUAUAGUUUUAAGUCCUCUGUAGAUUGCUUGAAUGUAUUAAUGUAUUAAGGUACAUUUAAAAUUAGCCUAUGGUUUCCCCAUUGAAUCCUUGUCACACUACUUUGGUUACAGUGUUUGUUUAGACUUUGUCACUUUUAAAUGUACUUCUUUUCAUACAAGGCCAAAAUAAGACUGAAAAAGUGCAUCAAAGGUUUGUUCAUAUGUCUAACAUUUGUAUCAAGUUACUAUGGCUUAACAAAGUUUUAAAGAAGGCUUAUUUCCCAUCAGCUAUUUCCCAAAGUCCAAAACGUUUUAACGCACAUGUGAGUGUGGAUGGUCAAAUAAAUUCCAGAUUGCACCUUUAAACUCCAUUCAGUGAAAAUGACUGCUUUGCCCGCACUGUGCUGUCAGGCUUCAUAAAUUUCCCCUGAAGGCAUGUUCCUUGCAUGCAGCCUAAUGUGUUUAAGCCCCGAGUUUGGGCAAUAUGUGCAAGUAAGUGCCUACUUGUGCUGUACCCAUGCACGCACACACACCCAUGUCCAUGCACACACACACACGCACACACACACACCCAACCCACCAGCCCAGUUUUACCUUAUUAAUAUAGGCAGAUUUACAGCUGAUGUUGAUCCAUAAUUGGCGGUUUCACCGGGAGUAAUGAUGCAGCAGUGUCAGACCUAUGCUCUGUAAUUAAACUGGAAAUUAUCUGCUGGUGUGUGUGUGUUUGUGUGUGUGAUUGUGUGAAGUGCUUUGGCCUUUUUUCAUGCUUACGUAUGUGUGAGAAUGCGUAUGCCAUUCAGCAUGUGUCUUAGCAUGUGUGCGUUUGUGUCUCCCUCAGUUUAUUUAUGUGUGUGUGUGUGUGUGUGUGUGUGUGUGUGUGUGUGUGAGUCUACAGUAGGAAAUGACAGAGCCCCUGUGAUGUGAAUUUCCGUAGAAAUGUUUGCUGUAGCUCCAGCUCUUCUCGGCCAAGAAUGGCAACAACAACAACCUCCUCAGCACUGGAAGGAGUGAUGUCAGCCUCUCCCCUCCCUUCCCACACACACACACACACACACACACACACACUAACAACUGACACCCCCCCCGAUCGCUCAAAUCAGACAGCAUACCAGCCUACCUUAGCCAGUCCUUACAAAACACACACACACACACACAUGGCUUCCUUUGCUUUACUCUCAAACCCUUUCUUGCAUCCUCCGCUGAAUAGCCACAUUCAUAGCCGUCUGUGGCGAAACAUAAAACACUAUUAAUAAAACGGCAAGGGCCUGCUGAGUGACACAUGCCUGGCCCUGCCAAUGUACACGUAUGCCCCUUCCAGCAACAAGUGUUAUCUUAGUCAGCCCUAAGGAAGGUGUCGUAAAAAAUUGUUUAAAAAUUUAAAAAUACUGGAAAAAUCCUGGAGGUAAUUUGUGUGUGGCUGAGGGAGGAUGGUUGUACUGUGGCUUUGGGGCAGGGCAGGAUGGCAGAGUAACAAGUACAACAGUAUCUACAGCCAGGUGUGAGUGCAUGGACUGCAGGUUGUAAGCACUAAGCGUGGAGUGUCAGAGGUGAUAGCCAACCUGUAUAUAGGGCAGAGAAGAAUGGUGCUACAUAGAGAGCCAUUCCAUUGGGAGCACAGAAGGAUGAGGAUGAUGAUGAAGAAAGACCAUAGUGAGGAGUAAAAUGGGUAGGAUUUUUGGGGAUUAGAGAAAGAUCAGGGCAGUGAAGAGCAUGUGUUUGCAUUCUAUAGCUCUACAUAGUGUUAAACUGUACUUAUACAGUAGUUGUUCCCAAAGUGGGUGCUGCAGCAAAAAUUGAAUACAUAAAUAAAUGUAUAUUAACCAAGCUUUUAUACACUAUAUAUCAAAAUGAAAAAAGGGUGAACGUACCAUUGUUAAGUGAUGUCAGUUAACCCAUCGAUUUGGCACUUCCUUGGUCCAUCCAACACUUUGGUCCAAAUAAAGAUACCACGUCUUCAUAACUAUUAGCCAUUAAAUUUGCAAUCGCAGAGAUAUUCAUGAUCCCCAGAAGAUGGUUCCUGAUUUUUUGGUGACCCUCUGACUGCUAGUUUUGGGUUUAGUUAGUCAUUUCCUGUUUUAUUUUGUUAUAUUCAUUUCUCCUCGUGUGUUUUAUAGUAUACUUCCUGUCUUUGUUUAGUUUCUCACCUGUUUUCUGUGUCACCUGUGUUGCAUCAGUUAAUCAGUCUCUUGUGUAUUUAGUCCAUGUACCUUUCUUCUGUCAGUUGUCAGGUUGUUUGUUCCCCCCAGUUCUGCCUUUGAUCCUCAGUCCGGCAUUUUUCCAGUGUGUUCUCCCUGUGUUCCUGCAUUUCCCUUUUGUUCUUGGAUUCCCUGUGGAUUAACCUUUGUUGGGCUUCUUUUAUUCUCUGUUGGACUUUUUCAUGGAUUACUCUUUGUUGAACUUUUACCUGGACUUCUCAGCUGCCCUUAGUUGUUUUGUGUUCCUCCUCAGUAAGUAAUAAAAGUCAUAAUUUGUUUAUUUUACCAGUCCUCGUGUGUCUUGUCUGCUUUUGGGUCCACCUCCUGAACUGAACUAUAACAGUACGACCUGACCAGAAACGGACCCAGCAGGCGAAUCGUUUACUGUGGAGGAACUGAAUGAAUGAACUUAUACCAUGGAGUGCCUUCUGAAAUACUGCAAUAAAGGCCACAAGUAUGGAGCAGAAAGAGGCAUCUUUGACAAUGGCACGAUGGACAGUUUCUUCCAAGCCUUGGCUGAUUGCUAUCUGGACUGAUAGAGGGUUUUAUUAACUUUCCAGCCUCAUCUGCAUCUCAACCUCAGCCUGUGUCUCAGCCAGCUAGCCUUUGGUCAGCCAGGAAUCAGCCUGUUAGGCUUCAGCCUACUUCCCGGCCUGUUAGCCUUCAGCAUACACCCCAGCCUGCAAUCCAGUCAACCGCAGCCGCCUGUACCUCCUGAGCUGCCGAUGUCUCCUGAUUCUGAUGAGCUGCUGCAGUCGCCUGUCUUGAGCUGCUGGAAUCACCAGGCCCUGAGCUGCAGCCACCUCCUGGUUUCUUGGCAUCACUGGCUCAACCAGCUACUCUGCGAGUCUCUCUGUUGCCAGCCUCCAGUCCAGUUGUCCUCUUGCCAGCUUCCUGCUCAGCUCUCCAGUCAUUAGACCCCAUUCCUGAUCUCCAGCCACAAUGCCGGCCUCUAGAUGGUUUCUAUCUUCACCCCUGGCAUCCUGUCCAGCCUGCAGAGGGAGUUGCCCCGCACGUCUGGUCACCCUCCUGACCUGCUCUGCUCUUCUGUCCUGCCUUCAGGCCAACCGCCUGAGGUCUUCUGCCCCUCACCUGUCUAGCCCCCAGGUCCCUUGGCCCUGUAACAGAUCAGAAAACAGGAAAAUAUGAUCAAAUAUUCUUAGAAGAAAUUAUUAAUACAUUUUCAAAUAAAGGCCUUGGUUCCCUGCAUUUAAGUGAGGUUAAUAAAGGCUACUAUUUGAGAAUUUACGGUAAUAUCAA